CCCUCCUUCCUGUCCCAAUUACAGCCCGUCCACACCCUGGCCCUCCACUCCCCAGCAAACAUGGGGUUAUUGGGCCAGCAUCGGCUACUGUCGGGGUCGUGUCGGCAGCGGCGGCUGAGUGACUGUUGCAGCAAACCGCUUCGUUAGCGGUGUCGGCCUUACAUCAGUAAAUGUUAAUUGAACCAAUUAAUACUAAAACCAAAUUGGCCCGAUACAGUUUGCCUCAUAUUUGCCUCAAUCAUGAGCUAAUGUAUAACACUGCAUUUAUGCAAACAUACAAAAAAAUGGAUUAUCCGUUUUCCGAUCGGGAUUACAGGCAGCGAACGUUCAAGAUCAAGAUCAAGUUGAACUUUUCCCGCUUAAAUAUUGUUUACGUUGUAAAACGGCUCAUCCAAGAAGCCGUCCCGUCAUCGUUGAACAAUUUACCACUCUACACACAAGUGCCUUCAGCCACAGUGAUUCAAUCAAUCAGCAUGACUUCCAAAGAGUUUUGUGUAGUUGUGUUUGUUGAAACACAAGAGGUGGAUGUUGCUCCAAGCAUUUGGCUUUCAAAAAAUGAAAGAAAAUGUAGAUGGCCUCCAUACAGAGACUCCCAGAAAACUCAAAAGGCUAUCAAGGACCAAGUCAUGCCUGGGGAAAGUUGGCCUACCUAUCCAGUGUGAGUACUUGGCUUUUAGGGUGAGUAUUUUUCUUCCUGUUGAGGUAUUAUUUGGCCUCAUGUAGGCUCAUACUGUCCCCUGAUUUCCUAUGGUACACAUUCAAUCACAGACAAGUUGGGGAUUGCAGUUAGUUAAUCUUUGAAGUUGCACCUUUGAUAGGAUGUUAAUUCAAAGGUGUUGAAAUUAUUAUUCAGGAUUUAUCAUUACAGAUUGAAGCGUAAAACACUUUAUGAAGACACAGACUGCUCUGACUCAUCUGGAGAUACAUCAACUAUGCAGCCAAGCCCAAGCACAAUUCCAGAACCCCCUCGUGUUUCUGGUUUCCCAUCUCUUCAAAGAAGUAAUGCUUUUUGCAUCCCUAAGGUUGACAGAGACACGCAUUCUGACCAAUUGAAGACUAUUCUACUUGCUUUAGCAAGAUGUGAGACACGCAUGGAAGAUCAAACUAAACUGCUUCAACAACUAAUGGCAACGCAGAAGGAUAUGCUACACCAGCUGUUGACAAUGCAGUCGGUAUCAUCAUCAUCACAGGAAUAUGACUUUACUGCUGUUGAUGAUGUACUACCAAUUGAAACACUUCAGGGAUUUGAUGCUCUUGAAGGAAGACUGACAUCUGAUCAAGAAUUUAAAGAGCUUAUGGUACAACGGCUGAAGGUUUUGGGAGGAACUACAUUGAGAGUUGCAGUAAAGUCAAUUUUGGAUACUGUCAUGUCAAAUCGACUGCAACAGAAAUUCAAUUGGGAGGGCAAGAAGUGUUGGAAAACAAAGGAGAAUUUCACCAAGAUAGGAUUCAAGUCAACAAAGCUUUGUCAACUGGUGUGUGGUGAGUACAAUUUCAAGUAUAUAUGAAUCAUGUAAUUAGAACAGUCCAACUUAAGAAAUGCUAAAUAAUACUUGAUGUUGGUAUUAGAAGACUGCUAUGUUGGUUAUCAUAAACAUUGAAUAUAUUGUUUUCUUCCCAUAAACAAUUCAAAGAAACUAUCCUCCAGGUGAAUAAAGAAAAAUUGGAAGCUCUUCUGCUGUGGCCACCUCUUUGUUAGACGUUCCUGAAUGGAGUGAGGCAUCAGAGAGAUAGUUUGAUAAAUCUUAUACUUUCUUUCAAGCAGAGGAAAAAUAUUUAUUGUACUUGAGUUCGAGAGUAAGUCAUGAGUAGAAAUUAUUCAUAAUGUUCCUGCAUGCUUCCUCAGUCCUACAUGGUGGAACACCGUUCCCUUGCCGUAUGGCAGCUGUGCCCACUGGCCAGUGGUUAGGCACCUGGGGGUUAUUGGCUUCCCACCCACCCGUAGCUACGCCACUGUAACCUUCCCUAUUUAAGUAACACCUGACUGGGAUGACAGGGUGACUAAUGAGGAGGUGAUGAGAAGGUCUAGAGUAGGGGAACAGCAGCCUUUCAGUGGCCAUUAGAUUUUACAGAAUUAAUAAUGUAUAGUUAAUAUAUUUACAUCACAUU